rnacentral:lncRNA from 1 species
GCCCCACUAAGAAGCAUUAUGUUUAUCGGUAACUGCGUUCGUGCGAUCGUCCGUCCGUUCGUUUGUUUGUUCAUCCGUUUGUUUGUUACUCCGUUAGUUUGUUUGUCCAUCUGUUUCUGUUUUCGUCCGUCCGUCUGUCAGUCCGUCUGUCCCGGUUCAGAUUAAAGGUUUAGGUCAAUGUAGCUUUUAAUGAAGUUGAAUUCCAAUCAACUUGAAACUUAAUACACAUGUUUCCUAUGAUAUGAUCCUACUAAUUUGUGAGUUUUGUUCUCAAUUGUACGGUCCAUUGAACAUAGAAAAUGAUAGUGCGAGUCGGGCAUCCGUGCACUAAAGACACAUUCUUGUUUGUUUUUAUUUCGAUUUAACAUAAAUUAUAGCAGGCUACGCGUCGGAUUUAUAUUCUUAAAAAUGACCAUAGUUUAUAUACCUCUGUAUUAAAGAUGACCCACUAAGUCAGUCCAAGGUUGAUUAUUAAUUUAAAGUGUCAGUAAACAAUAUAAAACGUGUCAGUUGUGAUGUUCUGGUGAAGGAUUAAUUAUC